CCGCAGAGCAGAGCGAGGACUCGUACCGAGUGCCGGGACAAAAAUAUCGAACCGGCCCGGACUUGUUUCUUCACUUGCCCUGAGUUGCAGGGAUCUCUCUCUAAACACAACAAAAAAGACUCGGCUCAGCUCGGAAGGUACGCUUAACUCUCUCUCAAAAGUCUUAAACUCAACCCAGGAGACGCUCUCUAUCUCGCUGGACACAGGAGAUACGAUUAACUGGGAGAAGGGAGUAGUUCAUGGAAGAGGAGGCGUGGAACAAAGAGAUAGUUCCUCGAGUGUUGCAGUUAGUUAGCCAGAGGCAGAGGCUAGGUCUCAGGGACCUCUGCACUCUGUUGCUUCUCAGUCCAUCUUGUUACCACGCCCUUCUUUCUCACCAUCAUCUGUGGGAGGUUCUCGACUUGCAUGAAAUGAAUAAUGCUGGGGAGCGACUCCUGGCUGCUCUUUCGUUGCCAAGGUACCAACAUGUUAAGUAUUUGAAUCUGGAAUUUGCACAAGAUAUUGAAGACAAACAUGUCAUGCAGCUUAAAGGGAAGUCACUCAUGGACUUGAGGUCUCUUAAUUUAAAUGGAUGUCAAAAAAUUUCUGAUGAUGGAAUUGAAGCGGUUACUGCUGCAUGCCCGAAUAUCAGGAUUUUCUCUAUCUAUUGGAAUGUAAGGGUCACUUACGUUAGUGUAAAGCAUCUCGUGAACAACUGCAAGGAAAUAACUGAAUUGAACUUAAGUGGCUGUAAGAAAAUUUCAGUUGGAAGCUGGCAACUCAUUGCAGACCAUUAUUCAAAAUUGGAAGUGUUGAAUUUGACCAGGUGCAUCAAGCUAACAGAUAAUGGGCUGCAACAGAUACUUCUUUACUGCCCAAUGAUUAUGAGCUUGAAUCUCUAUGCCCUGUCAAGUUUAACAGAUAAUGCUUAUCAAAUGAUCUCGUUUUUGACCAAUUUAAGAUUCCUGGAUCUUUGUGGUGCACAGAACCUCUCUGACCAGGGUCUUUCUUCAAUAGCCAAAUGCAAGAAUCUGGUAUCUUUGAAUUUGACAUGGUGUGUUAACGUCACUGAUGUUGGCGUUCUUGCUCUUGCUAGCACUUGCACCUCCCUUGAGUAUCUUAGCUUGUUUGGGAUCACUGGGGUGACUGACAAAAGUCUAGAAGCUCUCUCAAGAUCUUGUUCGGCAACUCUUUCAACCCUUGACGUAAAUGGAUGCAUUGGCAUUAAGAGGCGGAAUCGAAAUGAGUUGUUGGAAUUGUUCCCAAAACUGCGUUGCUUUAAAGUGCACAGCUGAUGGUUCGGGAAAUGUCAAUGGAAGAAGGUUCAAUGAUGAUGAUAAAUUCUCAAGGCACAUGUCCAAUUACAACAUUCAUGUUGCUGGGAUGACAAAAAUGUCAGAGGUCAAUAUGGUUGUCAAAUGGCAAAUCCCAAUAGAAUCUCUAAUUUAAAUUAAAUAUAUAAACAUCCACAUAAAUAUCCAUUGAUACUGUUCCCAAAAAUUGGAGAUCUGAGACCUUCCUUCACCAAGUGUAUUCUUUGGAUAGAAUCUUGCUAAUUUCUUGUGAAAUACUCAGUAAUACAGGGGCAGACAGUGCAAGUUUGUUGUAAUGAAAGAUGAAAUACAUCUCGAGUUGGGAGCAGCUCGACCUCGAUCUUGAAGCCAAUCACCAUCUACUAAUUGGUGAUGUAAGCUCACCAUGCGCCUCGGCACAUUUUCUUCAC